rnacentral:lncRNA from 1 species
UGCAGAACCACUCCUUUAUUGGGGGUGUCUUGCUAAUUGCCUAUAAUUUCCACCUGUUGUCUAUUCCAUUUGCACAACAGCAUGUGAAAUUUAUUGUCAAUCAGUGUUGCUUCCUAAGUGGACAGUUUGAUUUCACAGAAGUGUGAUUGACUUGGAGUUACAUUGUGUUGUUUAUUGUGUUGCAGUGUAUAUAAAUAUAUAUGUAUGUGGGUGUGUAUUCCUCUGCUGCGUUUGAAAUGUGUUUGUCAGUUGUUUUUGUUACGAAGUGGCAUGGAGGAUGGCUGACUUUCUGGAGGAGGAGGAGGCUGUGUUCUCCGUGAUCCAGGAGAGCUUAAAGAUUGAUGUGGGCCCUCACCUGCCCUUCAAAAAGGCUGCGAAGGAGCGGGCGGAGCAAAGAAUAACCAGUUUUCAACUUAACAAGAUAAGUCUACUCACAAGGUCACCACCCCUUUGUUACAUGAAAUGUAGUAUAUCAUUUAAGGUGCUGAAAGUUAUUUCGUAUCCACUGAUAAAAGUAUUAAUACAAACGGACAUCUUAAUCUGCUGGACUCUAUUGACAUUCAACCUCAUAGGUUCUGUUAAAAGUAUCAAGUGUUAACCUGCGUAACCGUUUGCUAUCGACUUUCAAAUGAGGUCUGGACUGCCGAGAAGAAGAACCAUUCGCCGAAAUGGAAAUCAUUGGUUCUCCAGACACUCUGCCCCUUUUAUGGAAAAGAACAAGGACAGAAGUUGGAGCACACGACGGGCCAGAGACACCUCCACAUGAAGCGAUCUACAACCUGCUGCAGAGGAUCCAGAGCUAGAUCACCUAGCAACAGGCCGCCAGUCCACCCCCUAGUAUAGCUUGGUGUUGCAGAUGGAGACUGAAGACACCUCUGGAUAAGCACUGUUCAGCUACCUAAGCCAUAUCAUUCAACACUCG